rnacentral:snRNA from 1 species
AUGUGAGGGCGAUCUGGCUGCGACAUCUGUCACCCCACUGAUCGCCAGGGUUGAUUUGGCUGAUCUAGCUGGCUAGGCGGGUGUCCCCCUCCUCCCUCACCAAU